rnacentral:rRNA from 1 species
AAUAGAUACCCGGGUAGUCCACCCCGUAAACGUUGGGAACUAGUUGUGGGGUCCAUUCCACGGAUUCCGUGACGCAGCUAACGCAUUAAGUUCCCCGCCUGGGGAGUACGGCCGCAAGGCUAAAAACUCAAAGGAAUUGACGGGGACCCGCACAAGCGGCGGAGCAUGCGGAUUAAUUCGAUGCAACGCGAAGAACCUUACCAAGGCUUGACAUACACGAGAACGGGCCAGAAAUGGUCAACUCUUUGGACACUCGUGAACAGGUGGUGCAUGGUUGUCGUCAGCUCGUGUCGUGAGAUGUUGGGUUAAGUCCCGCAACGAGCGCAACCCUCGUUCUAUGUUGCCAGCACGUAAUGGUGGGAACUCAUGGGAUACUGCCGGGGUCAACUCGGAGGAAGGUGGGGAUGACGUCAAAUCAUCAUGCCCCUUAUGUCUUGGGCUUCACGCAUGCUACAAUGGCCGGUACAAAGGGCUGCAAUACCGUGAGGUGGAGCGAAUCCCAAAAAGCCGGUCCAGUUCGGAUUGAGGUCUGCAACUCGA